CGCUCCCUCUGUCUCUUUAAAAGCAUUAUGUUAAUGUAUAUGCGUUUCGUAUCUGGCAAUUAUCCUGUUGCUAGUGAGCUCUUCGACUGCUCUGCAACUUUUUUUGGUGGUGAGCAUUGUCUACAAUCCGGUAAUGAUAGAACUUGAUUGAUGUAUCAGCACACACUAUAGGGUAGUGUUCAAUGACAGUGCUUUAACCAAGUCAUUCAGAAGACA